GUCCGCCAUGGAUUAACCACACGGGGGACCAAAAAAAAAAUCUUCGCGGAUAAAAGAACUCAAAAUCUAAAACCUAGAACAGAAAUCUUCAACAAAACUAAAAAGUUUUGACAAAGAACAGAUCAAGAAAAGGAUGUAGAGAAGAAAUCAAAUAAAACCCGAAAAGAAACAGAAAAAAGGAGGCGUAAAUGGCUUGAUUGACGGAGAUGAAAGAGGAAAAGGAGAGUGGGUGUGGCUGUGGCUGUGGCUGUGGC
rnacentral:misc_RNA from 1 species